rnacentral:rRNA from 1 species
UACAGAGGUGGCAAGCGUUGUUCGGAAUUACUGGGCGUAAAGGGCGCGUAGGCGGUCUUGUAAGUCUCGUGUGAAAUCCCUCGGCUUAACUGAGGAACUGCACGGGAUACUGCCUGACUUGAGUUCGGGAGAGGGAAGCGGAAUUCCGGGUGUAGCGGUGAAAUGCGUAGAUAUCCGGAGGAACACCGGUGGCGAAGGCGGCUUCCUGGACCGACACUGACGCUGAGGCGCGAAAGCUAGGGGAGCAAACGG